AAUUUUAAAUGUAAAUAAUGAAUUCAGGUUAAAUUUUCGCGGAAAAUGGAAGUAUUUGAAUAUAAAUAGACAAUCUCUUACAGUAAGUGUUAAUAUUAGAAAAAAGUCUUUAUAUGACAUUAUUUAUUAAUAUUUAUUCUAGCAAGAGACAUUCAUUUUUUAUUAUUAAGUAUUAGAAAAGAAGGGACGAAUAGUAAUUAAUCAAAAUAAGACUGAAAUAAUAAGAUGAACUAGUAAAGUAACGUUAAUUUUUUUAUAUAUACCACUUAAUAGAGGUUUAGGUAAUAUUUAGCUUCGCUUAGGAAGUAUUAGAUAUUUUAGAAUUACAAUUAGAUUAUUUACGGCUUAUAUGCACUAAAAGACUAUUUAAAAGUUAGGAUCAAUUUUAUUCACUGUGGACACUGUUUUGAUGAAGUGAAUUAGUGAACGAAAAAAAAAA
rnacentral:lncRNA from 1 species